rnacentral:rRNA from 1 species
AUUGAACGCUGGCGGCAGGCCUAACACAUGCAAGUCGAACGAGUCGCGGGCGGGUGAGUAAUGUCUGGGACCCUGCCUGCUGGAGGGCGCUAACUACUGGACACGGUAGCUAAUAACGCCUACCAUCGGCUGUGCCCAGCUGGGAUUAGCUAGUAGGUGGGGUAAAGGCUCACCUAGGCGACGAUCCCUAGCUGGUCUGAGAGGAUGACCAGCCACACUGGAACUGAGACACGGUCCAGACUCCUACGGGAGGCAGCAGUGGGGAAUAUUGCACAAUGGGCGCAAGCCUGAUGCAGCCAUGCCGCGUGUAUGAAGAAGGCCUUCGGGUUGUAAAGUACUUUCAGCGGGGAGGCGUUACCCGCAGAAGAAGCACCGGCUAACUCCGUGCCAGCAGCCGCGGUAAUUC